UACAGAGGUCUCAAGCGUUGUUCGGAUUCAUUGGGCGUAAAGGGUGCGUAGGUGGCGCUGUAAGUCGGGUGUGAAAUUUCGGAGCUUAACUCCGAAACUGCAUUCGAUACUGCGGUGCUUGAGGACUGGAGAGGAGACUGGAAUUCAUGGUGUAGCAGUGAAAUGCGUAGAGAUCAUGAGGAAGACCAGUGGCGAAGGCGGGGUCUCUGGACAGUUCCUGACACUGAGGCACGAAGGCCAGGGGAGCAAACGGG
rnacentral:rRNA from 1 species